UAAAAGUUUUGUUCAAACACGCCCCGCGAUCAUGUGCCUUUCGAGGAAGAGUGUGUGGAUUUUACAGUGAAAGAGGGCUCUGUUCACCUCUGGACUGAACACACUGUUUGAUUGAGGUCAUGUUUUGUGUUCACUUCUAAGGUAAGGAGCUGGUUUGCAGUCGAACGCCAGUGAAUCGAACGGCUUCUUUAAAUAGUCUCAGAACACUGGAAACCGCAGCGUUCUGUUUGUUUUGAUUUGAUUGUUUCCGUUCCUUUUCUUUUUCUUUUGGAAGAGGAUUUAAAGAAAAGACAUUCACGAUCAGGGCAUUGUAAAGCCAAACGAGUGAACAUCCAGCUGCUGAGACUGGCACUGAGAUCAGCUGGACGUCUGGAUGAAUCUGCAGUGAAGCAGGCCAUCAAGGAGAAGACAGCAAAACUGCCAUGUCACGUCACCCACCCAUGUACAGUAUCUGACCGACGACAGAUGGAUCACAGAUGAAUUCUGCUCUCCAGAUGGACCAGAUCCUCUCAGAUCAGCAGACCAGCGAGACACGGAGAGUCCAGAUCUUCAUGCAGCGGCGGGAACACAACGCACCAAACACAACCUCAUGUGGACACUGAUGACCUGCGGCGCUUUCACACGUUCUGAUGCUUUUAUUAGCCUAGAGAGACUUUAUAAGAAUGAGCAUUUCUAGUCAUGCCAUACUAUAAAUAAAAAAAUUAUAUAAAUGGUAAGUCAUUUUAAAUUUAAGAUCUAAUUUAAAAAUACAAGAAUGAAAAAUAUGUGAAAUAUACUCGUCUCAAAUGUUUUAAUUGUAGCAAUUUGCUUUAGCAUUGCAUUCCUCAUUAGUUUACUGCUCAUCUUACGAAUAAUGCAUAUUUUUAUCACUUCACUUUCCUGAUUCUGAAAGUAGUUGAGUAAUUAAUUACUGCUUGGCUAGAAAGACACUGUUCAAGUACAGUAAUACUGCUGGAACCGCAUGUGAUUAUAUUAUGGGAUUACUUAUUAUUUCACAUUUAUUUUAUUCUGUUGUCAUAAUGAUAAUAUGCAUUUCUCAUGCAUGCAUUUCAAAGACCUCUUCACACUAUAUUAGACAGAGUUAUUUCAUGCUUUUCUUCCUCUUUCAUGGGAAACUUAUGAAUCA